GUGCUAGUUGUGCAAUAACAUAGACUGUCUGCAAAAUCAUAGUAUAUCUAUUAUGUUAUAGUAUUACUACUAAGUUGUAGACUUUCUGUUUUGUUAUAGUAUAUGUGCUGAAUAUAGUAUAUGUGCCAAAUCAUAGUGUUUAUAGCAAAUCAUAGUAUUUGUGCUAAAACAUAGUAUACUGCCACAUUAGAGUAUUUGUGUAAAACCAGAAUGUCUGCAAAAUCGUCAUAUAUCUGUGAUGUUAUAGUAUUACUACUAAGGCAUAGUAUUUCUGCAAAAUCAUAGUAUUUUUGCAGAAACAUUGUACUUCUGGUAAAUCAUAGUAUUUGUGCCAAAACAUUGUAUUUGUACAAAGUCAUAAUAUUUCUUCUAAAUCAUAGUAUUUCAAUUAAAUCUCAGGAGUUGUGUUAAAACACAGUAUUAUUGCCAAAUCAUAGUAUUUGUACCCAAACAUAUCAGUUCAACUUAUUUAACUCUUCUCAACAGCCCAACACCUCUUCUUCACCCCGUUUCAGCAGAAUUGUGAGUGUUUGCACCCCUUUUCAGCACAAAUCCCAGCUUUUUCAGGUGUUUUCAACAGAAAUCUCUUUUUUAGCAGACAUUCUGCUGAUUCACCUGUUUCAGUGCAACGUUCUACUUCUGUACCUCUUUUCAGUAGAAAUUCUGCUGAUUCACCUAUUUUAAGCAGAAUUUUCAGCCUUUCACCUCUUAUCAAUACAAAUCUCAGUAUCUUCUGCUCAUUUCAGAGGAAACCCUUUCACCUCUUUUCAGUACAAAUUUGAACUUCUGUACCCCUUUGAAGCAGAAUCUUUGCCUUUUCAGCAAAAGUUUCUGUUUUUCCACUUGUUUUCAGCAUAAUUUUUCAGUUUCUUUACUGCCAUACAAUUUUUGCACCUUUUCAUCUUUUUCAGUCAUUUUCAGCAGACAGCUUCAGCGUUCCAGCAUCCACACAGCAUUUUCGCAGGAAAUGCAAACUUUUUCUAGUUAUUAUUAUUAUUGUGUGAAUGCCCUCAAAGGGCUUCCACACUAUUGAGUUCCUGUUUCUCUUUAUUGUGUGGAUGCCCUCAAAGGGCUUCCACACUAUUGAGUUCCUGUUUCUCUUUAUUGUGUGGAUGCCCUAAAGGGCUUCCACACAAUUGUUUUCCUGUUUCUCUUUAUUGUGUGGAUGCCCUCAAAGGCAUCCACACUAUUGUUUUCCUGUUUCUCUUUAUUGUGUGGAUACCCUAAA
rnacentral:lncRNA from 1 species